ensembl:lncRNA
CAGUGACUCCAAGGUGUACCACUGGGUUAGAGAGGCUUCAAGGUCAAGGAAGACAUGCUCCAAAGUUGUUGUGAGAACUAAGUAAGAUGUUGCACGUAAAGGCUCUGCAAUUAACAGCCACUGCUAUGCAACUGAUAAGCAAAUGCUGUGAUUACUGCCUCUACCAUCCUGAUUACCAACAUCUUUCAACUGCCUUUUGUUUGACCUUCUUAGUCCUCUCAGAGAAUGCAAUUAACUCUAAAGGGAGACAGUAAAGAGGAUCAUGGAAAUUGGAUUCAGAUGGAGCUGAGUUCAAAUCCCAACCACAUCGUUCAUCAGCUCUAAGAGUUUAAUCAAUUCACUUAACUCUGAGCCUCAAUUUUCUAGUCUUCAAAAUGGUGAUAAUUACAGCUUGAAAGGAUGUCGUGGGACUGAAGCCAGCAAUCAUAAAGGGUCUAGCCUACAGGAAGUAGUCAAUAAAUGUAGAAGAAAGACUUUUCGAUUGACUUGAGAUUUUUGGAUUUUAAAGUUCUAAAUUGACUGUCCGCGUCUUCAAAGAUUAGAGAAGAGUAUUUGAACUUCCCAGAUUGUGUGAAAAACUGCGGGAGAUUUUCACAUUUCUGUGGAAUGGGAAAAAAAAUCGCAGCAAAGACUCACUCCUGAGAGACUGACUGAAACAUGCUGAAAAGUCUGGUUGAAAUCAACAGAUCCGACACAGUCCAGAGACGCAGACGGCUUCCGGGAGAAGCGCUAGGAGAGCAAGUUUUGAGUCGCUUUUCUUGUGGAUGGAACCGGUGUGCUCUGUGCAGAGGCUGAAGCAUGCAUGAGCCAAAGCCUUGGAAAAUUCACAGACGCGCCAGUAAUUCAACAGGUCUUGGCCGCACGCAGAUCCAGCCUCCAGGAGGAGUUAAGCAGGAAGGGUUGGCACAGAGAAUCCAGCACAGAUGUUGGUGGGCUUGGUUUCCUGUUGUGCCCGCCCACCCCAAUCCUUCUGCACCCUCUGCCCCAGGUCAAUGUCAGCUGCCUUCCUACCCUCUCACUAGUCACUCAACAUAUCUCCAUUAGUUGUCUAUGUGAGCCCCACAGAUGCUUCCCUAUCCUCAUACUCCUCUCAGAAAGAAUAAAUAUUUUUUUAAUUAUGUGUAAUUUUCCUGCCCCACGCACCCGUGUGUUUCAUCUAAGCUAACUUGAAAAAUAUGAUUCUCAGAGAUUUCAUUUCCUGAAAAAACAGAGCACGUUGUGCUAAAGAAGGUAACUGAGGUCUCGCAGGAGCUCCUCAUCAUGUUCCACAGCACAUGGGAAACUGAGUUUACUAUUCACUCAAUCCUCUACUUGCAGCAGCGAACAGAUGUCUCCCCAGCCCCCUCUGCUAAAAACCUAGAGCGCUGUAGCCCAGGAACAGAUUAAAGUGGUAGCUGGAAGCAUACCCAAGCUGAGGAUUUACAGAUGUUCAAUAAAACCUGCAAACAGCCCACCAAAAUCCCUGCACAGAGCUGGAAAGGGCACACGGCCAGCUCAGCUGGAAAUGGGUCCAUGGUGAGGGAAAGAAACAAGAAUCAUAGCUGUUCCAGAUACGCGUGUCACAAAGGAUGCUGAGGAGCUCAAGCGCAUCUUUCAAGAAUAGCAGUUUUUCAACCCAUCGCAGUCUGUUUUUGAACUUCAGAAUUCUCACUUCGCCAUUAAAAAUGUUGAGUUUAGUCAGAGGAUAUAACAGAUAUCUUACUGCCAAAGAACGGUAAGAUGCACAAGCUGAGAGGAGCUUGGUGUGAGGGGGCGGACACAAAUACCCGGAGAAGCCGCCGAGUAGCCGACUGGAGGGCUCGGCACCAAACAGGCAUUCGAACGCGUCUUAUUAUCCUUCUCUUGAUUGCCCUAUUUGGACACAUUUGUAAAAACCAUUGCUCACCCCACCCUUUAUUCCCCAAAUACAGCAGAUGGCUUCGGUGCAGUGUUUCAAAUCAGAUGUUAGGCAGAGACCAAGCCAGAGCCCAGAGCAUCUGGGUUUUCAAGAAGCAGAACGCAGAGCUCAUGAAAAGAUUUGGAGAGAAUAGAGGGGAGAGAUCGUUCAGGGUAUUUUCCAGGCCAUUUUUAGCCAGAGGAAAAAUAACCCCCAAAUUAUGUGGUUCUUCUUUCUUUAACCUUAGUGGGAAGAAAAGGCACAGGCUCAUGGAGCAGAGUAAAUGGAUUAGCUAAUUUCGGGAGGUAGAAAUUUUAGGGAAAUGCCUUCCUUCAAUACGCACACACAGACAAAGUGCUAUCACAAUUUUUCUAAUUUUUUUUAAAUAGGGUGUUAAAAAGAGAUAUAAAUGAGGAUCAAAAUAGAAAAAAAGUGUAAUUCAGCUCAAUGCAAUAUUCAUGUCCUUCAAAACCUAAG